UUUGUUUGUUUGGCUUUUUUGUUUUGUUUGUUUUUGUUUAUUUGUUUACUUGUUUACUUCCUGUAAGUGGCUGGCUGAAGGACGAGGACCACGAACUCAUCAGACGAGUGAGUCUGCGCAUUGAAGAUGUAACAGGCUUGACUAUGGACACUGCUGAGGAACUACAGAUUGUGAACUAUGGAAUUGCUGGUCAUUACGAACCACACUAUGACUUUGCCCGAGGCAAUGAAGAUAGGUUCACGUCACUAGGUACCGGCAAUAGGAUUGCUACGUUUUUGGCUUACGUAAGUCAGUGCAAAAUUCCCUUUUUUAAAUUAAAAUAUGAAACAGAUUAAGUAAAAUUUGAAUUGGAUAUAGAAGUGAAAUCAAUCCUUAUGCAGUCGUAGAAGCUGUUUAUACAUUCUAGAAUGAUCUACACUUAAAAAGGUAAAAACUGUGCAUUAAGAAGAACUUAUAACGGCCAAACAAAUAUUUUACUUCAAUAUAAUCAAUUAAGGGCCUCGACAGACUUUAGACUUAAGCUUUAGAUAAUAGUUCCUGUCGAUAACUAUUAGUGCUCGAUAGAGGUUUUUCAUACAGUAGAGGCAAUACUAUGUGUGGGAACCGAGAAAAAGAGUAUCCCUGCAUAUAUAAGAGUUUAUGGCUUGACAUUGCUGGAAGCAAACUUUAGUGAAGGCUUGGCUGUCGAAAGGUGUGUCACGGAAUAAGAAAACCUCUUUUCUGAGAAUUGUUCGUUACGACAACUUAAACUAAAAGAAGUUGUUGAGAACUUAUUAUUUUGCAAUCAUCUG